rnacentral:lncRNA from 1 species
CAGUCUCCAUCUAGACUUGGGGCUUCUAGCUCAGGGGCAGCCCUUGCUUCGACGGAGCAAGGGUUAUGCAUCCCAUUGAUUCAGCCAUCCUCUGACUCAACAUUGAAGAGUUGGAGGGUCGCCUAUGACUUCACAGGCUUCUUCUUCUAGCCGAUGCUAUAAAGCUGGAAGAGGUGGGUUAUAGCACUCAGUGGAGGGACAUGCUAAACUCAUUCAUCCGAGUAAGUACCCUCUCAAUCUUUCUUUAUUAUUACUAUUUUUUUUCAUUACUUCUUCGUACUAACAGAUCUUUCCAUUUUUUGUAGCUUUGCCAUUAUCUGACAAUCUUUACUAAAUAGCAAAGUUGGCA